GCUUACGGCCAUACCACCCUGAACGCGCCCGAUCUCGUCUGAUCUCGGAAGCUAAGCAGGGUCGGGCCUGGUCAGUACUUGGAUGGGAGACCGCCUGGGAAUACCAGGUGCUGUAAGCU
ensembl:rRNA 5S_rRNA 5S ribosomal RNA